UGACUACCUGUGAUAAUACAUCAUUGUUC
rnacentral:sRNA from 1 species